rnacentral:rRNA from 1 species
UACGUAGGGUGCAAGCGUUAAUCGGAAUUACUGGGCGUAAAGCGUGCGCAGGCGGUUAUGCAAGACAGAUGUGAAAUCCCCGGGCUUAACCUGGGAACCGCAUUUGUGACUGCAUAGCUGGAGUACGGCAGAGGGGGAUGGAAUUCCGCGUGUAGCAGUGAAAUGCGUAGAUAUCUGGAGGAACAUCGGUGGCGAAGGCGGCAUCCUGGACCGAUAUUGACGCUGAGGCGCGAAAGCCAGGGGAGCAAACGGG